AAUAAUAUGCCUGAAAAAGGAUUACUCUGAUAGGGUAAAUCAUGCAAUAAAUAAUUGCUAUUAUUA
rnacentral:tRNA from 1 species